rnacentral:rRNA from 1 species
AUUGAACGCUGGCGGUAUGCCUUACACAUGCAAGUCGAACGGUAGAGGGGCAACCCUUGAGAGUGGCGAACGGGUGAGUAAUACAUCGGAACGUGCCCAGUCGUGGGGGAUAACGUAGCGAAAGCUACGCUAAUACCGCAUACGACCUGAGGGUGAAAGCGGGGGAUCGCAAGACCUCGCGCGAUUGGAGCGGGCGAUGGCAGAUUAGGUAGUUGAUGGGGUAAAGGCCUACCAAGCCUGCGAUCUGUAGCUGGUCUGAGAGGACGAACAGCCACACUGGGACUGAGACACGGCCCAGACUCCUACGGGAGGCAGCAGUGGGGAAUUUUGGACAAUGGGCGAAAGCCUGAUCCAGCCAUACCGCGUGCGGGAAGAAGGCCUUCGGGUUGUAAACCGCUUUUGUCAGGGAAGAAAUCUUCUGGGUUAAUACCUCGGGAGGAUGACGGUACCUGAAGAAUAAGCACCGGCUAACUACGUGCCAGCAGCCGCGGUAACAC